rnacentral:rRNA from 1 species
UACGUAGGGUGCGAGCGUUGUCCGGAAUUAUUGGGCGUAAAGAGCUCGUAGGCGGUCUGUCGCGUCGGAUGUGAAAGCCCGGGGCUUAACCCCGGGUCUGCAUUCGAUACGGGCAGACUAGAGUGUGGUAGGGGAGAUCGGAAUUCCUGGUGUAGCGGUGAAAUGCGCAGAUAUCAGGAGGAACACCGGUGGCGAAGGCGGGUCUCUGGGCCGUAACUGACGCUGAGGAGCGAAAGCGUGGGGAGCGAACAGG